UACGGGGGGGGCAAGCGUUGUUCGGAAUUACUGGGCGUAAAGGGCUCGUAGGUGGCCAACUAAGUCAGACGUGAAAUCCCCAGGCUCAACUUGGGAACUGCGUCUGAUACUGGAUGGCUUGAAUUCGGGAGAGGGAUGCAGAAUUCCCGGUGUAGCGGUGAAAUGCGUAGAUAUCGGGAGGAACAUCGAUGGCGAAGGCAAUCACCUGGGCCUGAACUGACACUGAGACACGAAAGCGUGGGGAGCGAACAGG
rnacentral:rRNA from 1 species